CACGUAGGGCGCAAGCGUUGUCCGGAAUUAUUGGGCGUAAAGGGCGCGUAGGCGGUGCGGUAAGUCACCUGUGAAAUCUCCUGGCUCAACUGGGAGCUUGCAGGCGAAACUGCCGUGCUGGAGUGUGGGAGAGGUGCGUGGAAUUCCUGGUGUAGCGGUGAAAUGCGUAGAUAUCAGGAGGAACACCUGUGGCGAAAGCGGCGCACUGGACCACAACUGACGCUGAGGCGCGAAAGCUAGGGGAGCAAACAGG
rnacentral:rRNA from 1 species